UUUUUUGAGAUGGGCUUAAGAGAGGGUGGACCGGUUUAGGGGGGAGACCCAUUUCUUUUUUCUUCUCUCUUUCUCCCUUCCCUCUUUUCCCCGAGCUCUCCCGAGCCCUUCUCCGCCGGAUCGUCCAGCCGCCGUCUGCCGCCGUCCGGCCAGCCACCGACCGCCGCUCCACCCCAGUUCGGACCCCCAUCUCCUCCUCUCCCUCCCCGGCCUAGCCCCCGAGCCUCUAACCCGUCGGAAGAGGAGAAAACCCGCCGAAAACGCCAGGAAGCAUUUCGCCGGAACUCCCUCCUCCGGCCACCAAUCUGGGCAAGCUUGGUACGGUUUUGUAGCCCUCCAAUCCAGCAGCCUUGCCCUAAAAGGACUCACUCCCUCUUGAGCUAGGUAAGGAGAAAUUUGAGGUGGAAGUUUUAUGGCGUUUUUGAUGUUUUUAGUCGAUUACCCUAGUUAGGCUUGGAAUUGGUGUUUGUGCUAGUUAGGAAAGUUGUAGAGCAUGAUGAGAGGAUUAUUCUGUCAAAAUGUGAGGUUGUAUUUACGACUGUUGAGUAUGAUAUUUAAGUUCGGAUCGUUCCGAUUUAAGAAUAUCGAAGUUAGGCAAUGAUGAGCGUAUUUAUGGCUCUCGGGUAAUUUUGCCUAUUUUGAUUAAAUAUUGGAUUAUUGGUUGGGAAAUUAAUAUUAUAUUUGGAACAGGACGUGAGGAGGCUCGAGCAGACGAGGCCCCAGAUCGACAUCAGACUUAGGCCAAAUUUGUGAGUGGACGUUUAUUUUAAAUAAAUGCAUGUUAUAGUUCAUGGUUGAACAAUUAAUGUUGCGGAAUAUUUUAACGUCAUUUUAAUUUGACGAUUUUUAUUUCUCUUGCAGAGUUACCGAAAAUGGGAUUUUCGGUGGAUAUAAAUAUGUAUUUAUGAGAGAGUAUGUAUAUAAAAUGCUAGCUAGCCAUAUGUGUCUGUCCACCUUAAUGGCGUAGCAUAUAGCCGCAUUAUGGUGUGACGUGAGCGUUGGACGUGAGCGUAGUAGCCCUAUUUGAGUGUUUAAUUCAUAUAGGGGGUAUGGACACAUAUUUAUACACCCGUCUGUCCACCUUGAUGGCGUAGUGUAGCACCGCAUUAAGGCGUGACGUGAGCGUUGGACGCGAGCGUAGUAGCCCUAUAUAGACCCAUGAAUUUAUAUAGGGAGUAUGGACGAGUGUAAAUACAUACAUAUAUUAUAGAGUCUGAGAGGCUCGAUAUUUUAUGAGAUAAAAGUUUUAUCGCUUGCGGUAUGCAUUCGAUUUUUCCUUAGAAAUUAAUUUGGGAAAACAUAAAUAUUUUAUUUAUUAUUUUAUUUUUGUCCACUCACUCUAACGUUAUUAAAUGUUUUCCCCUGGGCCCUUCGUUUUAAAUUGCCCAGUCUGCAGAGUUCGGGUUGGAUCUAGUAGGAGGCGAGGCUCAGUAGGUUACAUGUUCAACCUACUCGUGUUUUCUUGCUUCCGCUAGUGUUUAGUAGCUCUGAAUACUUUGGGAUUAUUGUAUAUUAUGUGUAGAUUGUCUGAAGGAUAAUUAUGUGAUGUUUGGAAGUGUUGAAUUAAGAGUGUAAUAUGAAAUUUUCGAGUUAGGGUUGUCCAUCUGCAAGGGAGAUUUUCUUAAUCUUUUCAGUAAAUUUUCCUUGGAGGUGGUCCCCGCACGACUUACUCCGGGUUUCAGGGUGAAAUUCGGGGUGGGUCGUGUCAUGUAUGCAUCCAGUUCCAACGUGUAAGUCACUUCAUUAAAUUCAACCAUUCUCAAUUCAUCAUCAACUGCUGCAUAACAAUUAACAAAACCACACUUCACAAUCACAACUUUACAGAUUCAAUAAACAUAACCCUAAACCCUAUUCACAGAUUCAUAACUCUAUAAACCAACUCCAAGUUAAUAAACAUAAUGUUGUAAAACGAAAAUGAAAGAUUGAGAAAAGAGAGAAACAACCAAGAGAAUGAGGGAAUAUGUGUGUCUUUUAUUAAGUUGAGAACUUUCACUUGUAUAGAGAUGAAGUCAUAAUAUAAAUUACAAUAACAACCCUAGUCGGCUAAUUACAAAAAUGCCCACUAACUAAUAACUAUUUACAACACUCCUCAUUGGGUAUUUUUUGUCACUAGUUUCCUCUGAUACGUGCUCCAGUGUUGUCUCGUCAAAAACUUGCCCGGUAAUAAAAACCUUAUGAGACAAACAAUCUUGGUCGAAGGAGAAAAGAGUACAAUGCACACAUAGCGGUGGUAGUCAGAACCUUUGAUUUCGAUGAAGCGGCUUAGUUUGGAUCAUAAUAUGUGAGUCCGUGGGAGAUAGAUGCAUAAUAGUUGCUACACCAAAAUUUUGCCCGGUAAACCCAGUGGGACAAACCCAUGGUCGAGGGGAAAAGAUGAGCAAAUGCAUAUAUUUCAAAUAAAGGUAUCUUCAAGAUGCAGUAUGAGUAGGGUGACCAAUUACAUGUGUGGCUCAUUAAAACCUUGCCAUGUAACAAAACCCAGUGGGACAAAAUAACACUAGACGAAAGACAAAAGAGUACACAAUGGUCAAUAGUAUGCUUCAGAAUACUCCCCCUGAUAUUGACUCCCCCAGAAAAUUACAAACUAGGUAAAACUAAUACUUUAAUCAUACUUCUCGAAUCACUUAACAGUCAGCAUGAUUUAAAGAGAUUUUUGUUUCAUAUAUCUCUAAGAUUAUUGUAUUCUCUAUAGUAAAGACAUAACUAGUUGGGAAUAAGCCUUGUGUGGGUUUACAUAACCCGUGUCAGCAUAUCUAACAACAUAAACAUCAUUCUGAGGAUCAUAGGCGGUUGAUCUAUUCUAUGAUGUCUAGGGAUAGAUAAAGCCAUUUUUUCGUCAUACAUUUAAAGUAGCGAAAAUUGUCUUUUAUGCCAUUUACGGAGGCAACUUGUUGGUGCAGAGCUAUAUCAAGCUAACAAAUACACAUUGGAUGAGAUGUACGGUCUAGGGCAUUUAACCAAGUACAAUAAUGCACCUAUUGUACUUAGAUAUGAGUAUUCUUGCCUCAAUAUCUCUUCAUUAUCAUCUGCAUAAUGAUACAUGUUUCACUAGACUUCAAACAGUUAUGAGUAUGCUUGAAGAUUUUGUUUUAUCCUCAUUAAAGCGUCUUAACAUCCUCUAAAUAUAAUAUGAUUGAUGGACCAAAAUUCCAAUUACACUUUGCACGACUCCAGGUUGAGAAAAUGAUUUGGCCUGGUCUCCGAAAGCCUUUUAUCUCAAACUCUGACUUCAGGUGUUUUGUGGUUUUCUAGAUCUCUUCAAGAAUAUCAAUCAAAUUCAUGCUAUUGACGUAGAUCACCAAAAAUUGCAAACCCGAAAUUUGUUUUCUUAAUAAACACGCAUGGGCAUAGUCCAUAGUUCAUAUAUCUCAUCCCAAUCAAAUAUUCACUUAGACGGUUAUACCAACUCUAUCUAGAUUGUUUUAACCCCUAAAGUGAACUACUCUAGCAAAUGAAGAGCAUGUUCUGUGGUCUAGAACUAUUUGUAUUGGGUAACAGAAGUCCUUCAGAAACUUUCAUGUAUAUCUCUAUAUUCAGUUAUUCGAAAACUACCAAACUAAUAAGGACGGUAGUUGAGAGUUAUGACGUCCAUUACGGGAAAGUACAUCUCCACGUAAUCAAUCACAGGACGUUGAGAAAAUCCUUGCACCACUAAACGAGACUUAUAUCACAAUCUCGUUUUUCUUAUUACGCUUCCUUACAAAUACCCAUUUAAACUAUACAUGUUUAACAUGGGGAGGUGUGGGAACAAUAGGCCCAUAACACCUCUCCCUUAGUGUAAGGAAUCUGAUUUGACCUGGAUUGUUUAUUUUCUUUUAACCAGUCAUCUCUUCGUUGAAUUCCAUCAACAAAGCAAGGUUCGACAUCAUCGCUUAUUAUCAUUUCGGUGGCCACCACAAAUAUAAAUAUAUCAUCGAUGAAAUCUCAUUCCGAUUCAAUAUCUCACUAAAUUUACCGAGAUUUUCUAUUCUCGGGAGUGGGUUUAAAUGUUGGAGCGUCCCCCAACUUCGUCUCUUCUAGGACGAACACAUAAUCCGGAUUUAUCUCGUGAGUUGAAUUGUUUUGAGAUUGCGAUGGCAAGAAGAUUCAUUUGUGUCAAUCCUCUUCUAGGGAUAAAAAUCAUUCGAACAUAAUGGUCUACCUUGCUUCUGGAUAGGGACUAUGACUGGUUAGCCGCCAUGGCCAUACCUCAUCCAACUGGAAUGACAUGUCCUACGGGGACCUUUAGGCACAUUUGCAGCAGGUAUAUGUGAUCUCAUCACUUUAUAUAGAUCAAAUGAAGCGUCUAGCAUAUUUUUGGGCUACACUAUGUAGAUCUAGAAUUCUUUGCACUUCAAUAUCAUUUGUGCGGUUUGGGGAUGAGGAUGAGACAUAGUGGAUAUUUUCCACGUCAAUUCACGUUGUUCAUCAGGAUCAAUGACGUUCUUAGUUCCCCCUAACGGCGGGAAGACUGUCUCAUCAUCUCAUCAAAGUGACAAUCUGCAAAUCUAUCAGUAUAGAGAUCGUCUGUCAAGGGAUCUAAGGAGCACAUAAUGGAUAUGAUUCAUAAUCGACAUAUCUGCCCAUCCUUUGUUGAGGACCCGAUUUUGUACGUUGUGGUGGCACAAUUGGCACGGGGACUGCAAACCCAAAUGCGUGUAAGUGCAACAUCAAAUUCGCACCCAGUCACCAACUGUAACACGAAGUAAGACGAGUAGCAGUGGGCUUGAACCAGACCAACAUGGCUGCAUGCAAGAUUGCAUAACCCGACGCAAACUGUAGAAGCUUGGUACGCAUUACCAAGAUUCUAUUUGCGAGACCAUCUUGGGUGUGAACAUAGGAAACUAUAUGUUCAACAAAUCACAAGGGAUAUGCAAUAAUCAUCGGAAGUCUUCGUUGUAAACUCUUCGGCCUUAUCAAGUCUUUUGGACUUUAUAAGAUAUACCAAGUGGUGUACCCUAAAUUUCAUGGGUGAGAGUUUAGCAAACACAACAUUUUCUUAUGGACAGUAAAGUGAUAUCUGAUCAUUUUUGUCGAUGCAUCAACCGCUACCUUUAAUAUUUAAUUGGUAUGUUAGGUAGUUGGACAUGUCCACCAACGUUGCAUUCUAUGUAGGAGUAGAUAGUAUAUACUAGUCUUUGCAUAUGAUGGUCUAGUAUUCAACAUUCUUAACGAGCAGCUUGACAUAAUGUGUCAUUAAAGACAAGGCCCUUAUUCUGAGGGGGAUGCUCGUGUGAUAAUUGAGUUGAGGAUACGGUGGCAUCAUAUGUUUUUCCCGAGUGCAUCAAACACCAAUACUAUAUCUAGUAUUUGCUCGAAUCAUUUAGCUUCUAGCUAAUAAAUUUUAAUAUCUUCAAUGUACGCUUCUAGACACACAUUCGAAGGUUAUGCAAAGAUAUUACACCAUUAUUCUGGUGGUUUCAACGUUUUAAGCAUUUCUUUCAAUGAACAUACCUUUCGAUAACGUUCUUCUGAAACGUAGAGUUAUUUUGCCUCGUCAGCCGGAAGAGAACGCUCAGUUCCUUAAUAUUGAUAACACAUAUCAAUUUAGAUGUAGAUUCUAGGGCAACAAGCAUUUUCAUUUCAAUAUUUUCUAAUUAUGUUCAAGCAAGGAAAAUGUCUACUUAAAAUUGUUUCUUCUGGAGACUACCAAUUAACAUGAUAAAAACUACCGAUUUUAUCAUGUAUGGUGAAUUUUGGAAUGAAACUUCAAGUUUCUUAAGAGAGUUAUUAUCGAAACUACAAGUUCGAUUUAUACAUGAACUACUGGUUCAUUUCUGAACUACUGUAUAUGUAUUGUCAACACAUAGAUUGGAAUCAAUUGAUGAUAUUAAUUUCAUGCUACUAAUUUAGCAUAAUAAAUAUUACACAAUUAUUGUGAAAAUGCUUCUGCAAUUAACUACACAUAUUUAAUAUGGUGAUUAUAUUUACAAUAGCCAUUAUGCCAAAGUGUUUAGAUUGGCUUUUUGACAUACACAUUGACUAGAUCAUUUUUCCUUUAGGGAACUUCAAGUUCCUUAUAUGACACCAUCGAAAUUACAGGUUCGAUAUACAUGAAAAAUUACUACUCAACCCUUUCGGUAGCUCCAAAUGAAAACGACUAGGUAAGAGGGCCUGAGGUGGUGGAGCGAGGCUCUCUUAAGCACACACCUCAGGUGAUUUUCCUAGACUUCGCAUUCAAGUGGGUGAGCCUAUUUGAGAAGAUUCAUAACCUUUCAUUCUUUCAGUGUUUAUCGAAACUACAAAUUCGAUAUAUAAUUGUGUAUAUAUAUAUAUGUGAGUCAGAAUAGUUAUUAUCAUUGUCAUGGAUUCAUGGCGACACAUGACGAGCUUCUGUGCUAGCCUUGCAGCUUGGGUUGAGCUUUUGACUCGGUUUGCUCAAGGAUUAAAAUCUCUGUGAUAUAUUUGAUAUAUCCCCCGAUAUCUCCUUUUCUGGAGUGACGAUAUAUCUAGAGGGGUAAAUAUCUUAUCUUCCACCAAUUCCGUCAAAUACUCCGAUUCUGUCAAAUUUCUCUGAUUCUGUUAAAUAUCUCCAAUAUUUAAGAAAUUUACAAUAAAUCUCCGAUAUAUUGAAGAAGUGUAUGUAAAAAACUUGGGCGUAAAGAGGAAUCACCUUCCACAAUAUUUGAAAAGAGAUAUAAGAUGAACAGUUAACUGCUCCAAAGAGAUAGACGACUAUCAUAUUCAAUAGUACAAUUCAUAUGGUUAUAUGUUUUGGUCUGAAUACUGUACUUUUGUGCACCACCGUUCGUCUUUUCAACCACUUGAAGUCUCUUUCUAGAUGUAGAUAAGUUGAUGUUUGUACAAUUUAUAUGUAAAUCUAAUAAAUUAAAUAUUUUAGAAAAAAAUUCUUCUCGAAUUUCCGAUAUUUUUUCCCUAAUAUCUCCGAUAUAUCCCUGAUAUAUUUGAUAUCUCCUUUUUUAAAAUACCGAUAGAUAUGCCAAUGAGUGCGGCUAUUGGGACUUCCAAAUUUGCUCAUUAGACCUCACUCUAUUUUGAAUUAUUAAAUGACAUAUAUAUCCUCAUACACACUGAAUAUUAAAGACAAUAAUUAUACAAAAGGAAAUAUUGUAUUUAUUCUCUUUAGACUUUCCAAUUCAAUAAUAAUUGAUUCCAUUCUUUAUUAUUUUCCUUAUAUAUUUUUGUUUUCCAAUUUCUUUUUAUUAAAGCAUAUAUAUAGUUUAUAAGAGCUAAAAAAAUAAUAAAUAUCGAUCAUGUGACAUACAAUUUUGUAUUAUCAUAGAUAUUGAAUGCAUAUACUUGCAAGAUGCAUAAAUAUUUUUGUAAAAAAAAUAAUAAUAAUAUCUAUCGAUUAUAGAAAAUAUAUAUUUAUUGAAAUAAUUUAUUAUGAGGUACAAAAUAGAGAUCAAAUUAUAAAAAAAAAUAGAGAAAAAAUAACACGUAUAAAAGAGAAAAACAAUUAAAAAGAUAUAUAGAGUAGUUCAUAAAACAUUUUUUUGCAUGAAAAAAAUAAUCAAAAAAAUGAAGGUAGCUAGGGAUAAUAGAUGUUGACAAACAAAAGAGAAAUUUUAUUCACACAUUGUUAAAUAUUUAAUACACAUUUCAUAUUUAUAUACACCGCUUAAUAACUUUUCUAUACAAUCAUUUUACUAGAAACACACCUCUAAACAUCCUAAACUACCCCCGUUCAACUAUCUUCUAUAUCAAACUGGAAUACUGUCAGGACCCACCCCGAAUUUCACCCUGAAAUCCGGAGUAAACCCUGCGGGGACCAUCUUCAAAGGAGAUGUUACUGAAAAUUCGGCAUAACCUCCCUUGAAAAUUGAUAACCCUUUCUAAAAGCACCUGCAAAUACUUCUAAAAUUCAAAUCCAACCUUAUACUCCUGGAGCCUUCGUGCUCCCCAAAAUUCACAACACCUCCCAAUUUAUUUACUAAUUUAAAAAUAAUUCCACAACCAACAUUCAUAGGUUAGAGCAACUCUAAUAGUGAAGGAAGAAAAUGAAAAUUAUACAAAUAAGCGGAAGCUAUAUUAUGGACUAUGCCUCGACUCCAUGUACGCCCUACCUCAACUAUGCUAACCUGCAAACUGGGCAUUUAAAACCGAAGGGCCUAUAGGAGAAUCAAUUUGAAAACUUUAGAGUGAAUUGUCACAUCCCGACCCUUAUAUUUUUACCUUAUUUACUAGCGUGAUUAUAAUAAGAAUUUUACCGUUCCCGUCAUUGAGGUAAUAGUUUAAUUGGUCCCUAGAGGUAUUUUUAAGGGACGAUUAAUUUCGGGGAAUUAUUCGUGGGAGAAAAUAUGACGACGGUAAAAAUAGUAAAUCUUAGCUAGUAAAAGGUAAUUUUUAUUCGGGUAUUAUUUUUCGGGGUGUUUUAUUUUUGGAAUUGGGUUGUUAUAAGCUUGGACCGGUUUGGGGUGUGAGGCCCAAAUCCAUUUUCUCUUUUUCUUCUCUUUUCUCCUCCUGGUUCCCUCUCUCUCCCGAGCCCCUCCCGCUGUCCGGUUUUCCGGCCGUCCUCCUGCCGCCGUCCGGCCACCACCGGCCGCCGCUCCACCCCAGUUCGGACCCCCAUCUCCUCCUCUCCCUCCCCGGCCUAGCCCCCGAGCCGUUAGCCCGCCGGAAGAAGAGAAAACUCGUCGGAGACGCCGGGAAGCUUUUCGCCGGAACUCCCUCCUCCGGCCACCAAUCCGGGCAAGCUUGGUACGGUUUUGUAGCCCUCCAACCCAGCAGCCUUUCCCUAAAAGGACUCACCCUCUCUUGAGCUAGGUAAGGAGAAAUGUGGAGUUGAAAUUUCUAGGGCUUUUAGGAUGUUUUUAGUCGAUUACCCGUGUUAGGCUUGGAAUUGGUGUUUGUGCUAGUUAGGAAAGUUGUAGAGCAUGAUGAGAGGAUUAUUCUGUCAAAAUUUCAUAGGUUUUGGAGGUCGCCGGAAUUGGCCUCCGGCCGCCGCUGCCGGCGGAGCCGCCGCCGGCGCCGCCGCGGUUUGGGAGAUUUUUAGGGUUUUAAAUGUGGAAUAUUAAGGGGAUUAUAUUGAUGUGAUUUAUGGAAUUUUUGGAUGAGAUUUGGAUAGGUUUGUGAAUUUCCGAAGUUUGGUAUUUUUGGCGGUUAAUUAAUGUAGAAUCCGACUGUAAGAUUUAAGUCGUAUUUUUGGGGAGGUUAUAUUUACGACUGUCGAGGAUGAUAUUUAAGUUCGGAUCGUUCCGAUUUAAGAAUAUCGAAGUUAGGCAAUGAUGAGCGUAUUUAUGGCUCUCGGGUAAUUUUGCUUAUUUUGAUUAAAUAUUGGAUUAUUGUUAGUUGAGAAAUUAAUAUUAUAUUCGAAACAGGACGUGAGGAGGCUCGAGCAGACGAGGCCCCAGAUCGACAUCAGGUUUAGGCCUAAUUUGUGAGUGGACUUUUGUUUUAAAUAAAAUGUAUGCUAGAGUUCAUGGUUGAACAAUAAUUAUUGCGGAAUAUUUUGACGUCAUUUUAAUUUGACGAAUUUUAUUUCUCUUGGCGAGUUACCGAAAAUGGGAUUUUCGGUGGAUAUAAAUAUGUAUUUAUGAGAGAGUAUGUAUAUAAAAUGCUAGCUAGCCAUAUGUGUCUGUCCACCUUAAUGGCUUAGCAUAUAGCCGCAUUAUGGUGUGACGUGAGCGUUGGACGUGAGCGUAGUAGUCCUAUUUGAGUGUUUAAUUCAUAUAGGGGGUAUGGACACAUAUUUAUACACCCGUCUGUCCACCUUAAUAGCGUAGUGUAGCACCGCAUUAAGGCGUGACGCGAGCGUUGGACGCGAGCGUAGUAGCCCUAUAUAGACCCAUGAAUUUAUAUAGGGAGUAUGGACGAGUGUAAAUACAUACAUAUAUUUUAGAGUCUGAGAGGCUCGAUAUUUUAUGAGAUCAAGGUUUUAUCGCUUGCGGCAUGCAUUCGAUUUUUUCCUUAGAAAUUAAUUUGGGGAAACAUAAAUAUUUUAUUUAUUAUGUUUAAAAUUUCUGAAGGAUAAUUAUGUGAUGUUUGGACGUGUUGUAUUAAGAGUGUAAUUUGGAAUUUUCGAGUUAGGGUUGUCCAUUUUCAAGGGAGAUUUUAGAAAUCUUCUCAAUAAAUUUUCCUUGGAGGUGGUCCCCGCUCGACUUACUCCGGGUUUCAGGGUGAAAUUCGGGGUGGGUCGUGUCAGAGUGAACAAAAAUAAAGGUUAAAAGGAACAUAUAAUUACUAAGAUUUUAUGCUUUCCCAAAUUAAUCUUUUCAGAAAAACUGCGAUGCAUGCAAUAAGUAGUAAACUUCUUAACUCAGAAAUAGACAAUUACUGAAAAACGCGACUAGCCCCGCUACUAGUCUCCAAUACCAUAUGAUAUUGAGCCUCCGAGGCUGUAGUUUAUAAGUAUGUAGGAAUUCAUAUAGGGCUACGACGCUUCAUAUAUGAUUCAUAUAGGGCUACGACGCUUGCGUCCCACGCUCACGUCACAUCAUAAUGGUGGUGGUUAUUUGCUACACCAUUAUGGCUGACAGACGGGUGUAUAUACGUGCCCAUACCCCCUAUAUGAAUUCUUAUAUAUAUUCAUAUAGGGCUACGAUGCUUGCUUCCCACGCUCACGUCACACCAUAAUGGUGGCUAAUCGCUACACCAUUAUGGUGGACAGACACGUAUGACUAGCUAGCAUUUAUAUACAUACAUUUUAUAAAUAUAAAUAUAUAUCUCCACCGAAAAUCCCAUUUUCGGUAACUCUCCAAAAUAAAGAGAAAUUGCCAAAUAUAAAAGAAAAUAAUAUGUAUACGACUCCACCGAAAAUCUCAUUUUUUCGGUAACUUUCCAAAUAGCGAAGUUAAUACUUAAAAUAAGAAUAUUUACUUCCGAAAAUAACUUCGCGGAAAUAACUCAUGCAAGAAAAUCAAUUCCACAUAUUAAAAUUCAGUAAAAUAAUAUCAUCCAUUUAAUAUAAAAUCACUGAAUGCAUUAAAUUUAAAAAAAAUAAAAGUCCACUCAUAGUGAUUCGGUUAUGUUAGUUGCCAAUUCGAGGCUUCUCUAAGUCCACCACCCGACCAUUUCCUGAGAUGAUUCACUUUCUACUUAAUUAACACCUCAUUCUCAUUCUAAGUAUGUAUGAAUGAGACCUUAACAGGAAACUAAAUCAUAAAACCUCAUAAAGCCUUGCACAAAUCCCAUAAUUGUCAAAUUACAUUUAACUCAACUUAAAUUGUAACUCAUCCCGAGCACUCAUUGAACUUGGACCUCAAUCGAAUUUGGAGAUCCC
rnacentral:lncRNA from 1 species